UCAAGUGAUACUCCUGCCUCGGCCUCCCAAAGUGCUGGGAUUACAGAUGAAGAAAAUGAGGCACUGAGAGAUUACAUAACUUCCCUUGAGUCAUAUUUGCUUGUAAGUGGUAAGGCUGGAUGUUGAACCCAGGACAAAGGGAGCCCAGUGGAGGAUCCCUGGAGGAGCAAAUAGAAGAAACCCAAAAGGGACUUGAAAGCGGGUCCCCUCCCUCACCUGGAUUCCCAGUCCGAAGAGGAGGAAGCAUCCGCCCUCCUUCCCUCCUUCUGACCCACCCAGCCACCCACCCAAGGUGCCAUUAAAGUUAAU
rnacentral:lncRNA from 1 species